CAAUCACAGAGCCGUAUUAGCAUCUUAAGACAUUACUUAAAAUAAGAACCAACUAAAUACCGGCCUCAAUGUCUUAAUUGAUGCAUGCAAUGAUGCAUGCCUGCGUGCCUGGUUCAAUGCAUGAACAUGUCUAUGCAUGUAUCAAAGCAUGCAUAGCGGCAUGUCUAUCAUACAAGAAAUCGUACUUCGUGUGAUUUCGGCUUUAAGCUGCCGUAAUCAACGUUUACACACAUAAUUAAGUUUGGGUAAGAUGGCCCACGUCGAUUGCUUAUCACACAGCUCGUGACACUAGUUUUUUGUUAUUAUAGAAGAGGAUUGUGGAUGAUGUGCAAUAAAAAUGCCAAAUAAAAAUGGGAAUCGAGAACAUACGCGAGGUAAAUUGUCGCAGGAGCAGUUAACUGCAGCUCUAGAAGCCAUUAAAAAUAGCACUUCUAUACGUCAAGCAAGCAUUGAAAAUGGUAUUCCCAGAAAGACUCUUGAAAGAAGAUUUAAAUCUGCUAACGCAACAAAGGGUGGAAUGGGGCCAACCUGCUCGCUUGGAAUGAAGAAUGAAGAAAGAUUGGUGCACCAUAUUAAAAUGAUGCAAAAGCAUGGUUUUCUACUUACUCGAGAUGAUCUUCGUACACCGUACACUGGCUUAUAACUUUGCUAAUCAACUUGAAAUCAAACAUAGAUUCAAUAAUAUAACUCAAAAAGCUGGAUAUGAGUGGCUUUCUUCAUUUUUGUCUAGACAUCCUGAUGUUUCAGUACGCAAAUAAGAAAGUUUAUCUCUUGCCAGAAGUCUUUGUAUGAAUAGACAAAGAGUAAGUGAGUAUUUUAAACUUCUGGGUGAAAAUUUUGAACAAAAUGGGCUAUUUAAUAAUCCAGGUUCUAUUUAUAAUAUGGAUGAAACUGACUUACAGUUAAAUAAUUGUCCUGCCAUGUUAUCGCUGAUGUUCAAAAUCUGUUUUCUCUGUAAGUUCUGGAGAAACAAUAACAGUAGUAACUUGCUGUAAUGCAGAGGAUGAUAUUUCUUUCUCCGGCUUGUAUAAUGAAAGAAAGAAAGAAAAAAAAAUUCGAAGAUGGCAUACCUCCAGGAUCUGUUGUUUACAUGUCUGAAAAAUCAGCUUAUGUAUAUAAACACGAUAUUAUUUUUUGACUGCUUAAAAAUCACUUUCUUCCCCGAAAGCUAGUAGGACCUGUAGCUUUGAUUCUAGAUGGCCAUUCUUCUCAUUGCAAUUCUAUCGAAAUGCUUGAGUUCGCGCAAUCCGAAGGCAUUUUGUUAAUUUGUCUUCCCAGUCAUACUACACAUUAUCUACAGCCUCUAGAUCGUGCUGUUUUUAAAUCCGUAAAAAAGAAUUUUUCUGAUGCUGCUUCUAAAUGGCUGAAAAAUCAUUCUGGCCGAAAACUUACACGAAUGCAAUUUGGAGGACUAUAUAUUAAAUGAGACUUGGAACAAAUCAGCAACACCAGCAAACGGUAUUUCGAGAUUUAGAAUUUUCCAUUGGAAUUUAUCUUUUUAACCCUGAUGCAAUUCCUGACUAUGCAUUUGUUAAAUCUGAUGAUAAUAUAUCAACAAAUCCUACUCCAGGGAGACCAAUUUCCCCAGUUACUUUUGAAGAUUCUUUGGGAAAUACAUGUAAUGAAGUUGAAGUUAACACAGCUAAUUCUACAGUUAUAUACAAUAUACAAAAUAUAGAUAUUUUUGAGACAGCUUUUGUAGACAGCUUGAUGUAGACAGCUUUUACGGGAAUCUAUUGGAGGGAGAAGAACAAUAUUGGUGGACGCAGUUCUGCGCCGCGAUCGAGUUAAGACAAUGGAUUAACAGUUUCUCAAGAGUAUCACGAUAAAUAAGAUUAGAUUCGAUGCUGGUGAUAAUGUAGAAAUGUAUCAUAAUCAUAAUUUGACGAUUUCAUAAAGAAGAAGACCAAUAUCUUGUGUAAAGCUAGCUGAACAGUUUUAUGCUUCCAGUAUCAAUUAAAAUUCUUAACUAGCCUCUUAAAUAGUCUAACUGUUAGUUCUUUCGCACGUUAUUAUGUAACAUUAGCAAAGACUGAAUUAGAUUAUACGUAAAGUGUGGCUUUAUCUUUAUUUGUAACUCUAUUGUACAAUGUCACAGGACAUCGAAAAAAAAAGAAACGUUUAGAUAUUCUAUAAUUUAUGUACAAUACAGAACUUAUAGAGAAUUGAUAACCAUUUAGCAGGAUAAACUGUGUUGGCGUACUCUUUCUACAUGCGCACCUUCCUCAAGAGCCGAGACUCGAACCAGAUCCGUGAAAAAUAUCGCCAAUUUCGUAGAGCUUUUGUACAGUUUUACUCUAGGAAUAUCGCGAGAGAAAGAAAGACUUCGGAGAUUUUUAUCUGAAUCGAUCAACAUAAAGAGAGAGCAUAGUAAAGAAGCUAUUAGCUUUCGAGAAUUUGAACGCAUAAUACUUUGUUAUAAUACUAUGAGCGAAUUAGUUUACGUCACUCUGUCAAGUUUUAAUAUUAAAUUACUAAUAAUAUAUCGAUAUCGGUAGUUUAAUAAUAAUACAUUUAAAAGCGCUCAAUUUAAAAGUAGGGCAAUCCUAAUAAACAACUGUAAAAAAAAUUCAAGGUGGAACGCAAUGGACAAUCCGGUUGCUCUGACAUGCUAACUUAAAUGGCAAAAAAUACUUCUCAGCGGUAAUGACAUUUGAGUCUCUUUUAAUUGGGUUGUGGCAGGGCGUUUGAGAUAACCUGCUCUUCACCCUGCACAGCUGACGGACCUUCGGGAACACUAGCGCCUUCUUCUUUUAACAUGAAUAACUAAAAAUCUAUAUUUCGGCUAAUUACCGAGUUUAUAAAUAUUUAAUUAA